GGGGGCAAUGGUCCAAUGGUAGAGCAUUUGCUUGACAUGCAGAAGAUUCCCAGGUUCAAUCCCCGGUGUCUCCA
rnacentral:tRNA from 1 species